rnacentral:lncRNA from 1 species
AAAAAAUCCCCAAUCCUCGCGUCCACCAGUCAUCCCCAUCGACGCGCUUCCCCAGUCCCCUCGCUCCACCGCCGCACACCAUCGAGGCCCCCACCGCCGCAUCCAGGCCGAGGCCGCCGCACCACGCCCCCAUCCAGGCCGAGGCCGGCGCGGGCGCAUCCCCAUCGAGGGGCCUCCGCCUUCGUCCCCACCUGUGACGGCCACCUCCAUCCACACGCGUCACCGUCUCUAUCGAGCAGUGUCGCCAUUCUCGCGCGAGCACCACCGCCUCUCCUCGCCGGAGUUGCAACCGUCGGGAGGAAUCUCCUUUCCAUCGAGUGUUGCAGCGGCUCAUCGUCCCAAGCUGCUUCUCGAUCUUCUCCACCGAGCACCGCCGUCGGAAGCAUGUCUUAUCCGCCUAGCGUCGCCAUCAAGUGCAAUCCGUCCUCUCCGCCGAGUAUCCGCCGAAGCACGCCAAGCAGACGCCGACUCCACUCCGUGUCUCUACCGAGCAGCACGCCGUCAGCGAGAUCUGUAGCCGCUUCUCCUCGCCAAGCUCAAUGCAGCAUAGCACAAUCGGAGGUUGAAUGCAUGCCUGGAGAAAUUACAACAGCAUAUGUUGCCAUUUCCAGAUUUGACCUGUGUCUCUGAAAUUAAUAUAUAGGAUAUGCUAGAGGUAAGGGAGCAGAAUGGAGGGUGGAGCAGCUAAAUUCUUUCCAUCCUGGUUAGAAAUACUUUGUACCUUGCAUUAAAUUAUAUUCUUCUUGAUGAAUUGAAAUUAAGUUACCUUGUUUCACUGAACAGUUAUGCAAACAUUUAUACUUGGUUAAUCCGUUGUGAUAGAAACCAGUACUUGCUGUGGCUUGAAAUCAUCUUGUACCGGAGUGGCGCAUGCAGAUGGUGCAGCAUGCAGGAUCUUUGGAUUUUUAUUUUUUUCCCUUCAGUUCUUGUUUUUCUGCUCCUGCUUCUAUUUGUACUGUCAAAUUGUUCUCUAAAGAAUACAUUUCAGCACUAAGAUUUGCAAGCAGUUGGUUCCAGUAUCCUAACACGUCCUAUUCUUGUGUAUCUGUUUUUGAUAACCAAUCUUGCCUCUUCUAAACUGUAAUGAGGGGUAGACCAUAAAUUAAAGAUCGAGUUAAUACUAAAGAUUGCUAA